GGAGGCAUAGUUUAGUGGUAGAGCAUCUGCUUCACAAGCAGGAAGUCCUGAGUUCAAAACUCCAUUACAUCUA
rnacentral:tRNA from 1 species